UUCAAGGCUUUUCUAGAAGCCAACCUCUUUGUAAUAAAAGCAGCU
rfam:Rhodnius prolixus Rhodnius_prolixus-3.0.3-454.13, whole genome shotgun sequence.